rnacentral:rRNA from 1 species
UGGGGAAUAUUGGACAAUGGGCGAAAGCCUGAUCCAGCAAUGCCGCGUGAGUGAUGAAGGCCUUAGGGUUGUAAAGCUCUUUUACUGGGGAUGAUAAUGACAGUACCCAGAGAAUAAGCUCCGGCUAACUCCGUGCCAGCAGCCGCGGUAAUACGGAGGGAGCUAGCGUUGUUCGGAAUUACUGGGCGUAAAGCGCACGUAGGCGGCGAUUCAAGUCAGAGGUGAAAGCCCGGGGCUCAACCCCGGAACUGCCUUUGAAACUAGAUUGCUAGAAUCCUGGAGAGGUUAGUGGAAUUCCGAGUGUAGAGGUGAAAUUCGUAGAUAUUCGGAAGAACACCAGUGGCGAAGGCGACUAACUGGACAGGUAUUGACGCUGAGGUGCGAAAGCGUGGGGAGCAAACA